rnacentral:rRNA from 1 species
UACGGGGGGGGCAAGCGUUGUUCGGAAUUACUGGGCGUAAAGGGCGCGUAGGCGGCCUUCUAAGUCAGACGUGAAAUCCCCCGGCUUAACCUGGGAACUGCGUCUGAUACUGGGAGGCUAGAGUAUGGGAGAGGGAUGUAGAAUUCCAGGUGUAGCGGUGAAAUGCGCAGAUAUCAGGAGGAACACCGGUGGCGAAGGCGGGUCUCUGGGCCGAUACUGACGCUGAGGAGCGAAAGCGUGGGGAGCGAGCAGG